GCCGCCCGCCCGGUCCGGCUGAGGGGUGAAGGGUGGGCAUGCCGGCGGGCAGGGCUGAGGGGAGCCGGGGCGCCCCGCGGCAGCCCCGCGCUCCGCCGCGCCGUGCGCCCUUCGCUCCCCCGGGGCACGGGAGCGGGGGCGGCGGGACCCGCCGCUGUCGCCGUGCCGCGACCCUGUCGGCGCAGCAUCGCGGCGUGGCUCGGGGCUGUUUGCCCGCGGCUCCGCGGUCCCUCGGGCGGGAGGCGGCGGCGCAGCCCGGCGCACCGCGCUCCCGGCGCCGCGGGGCUGCCCGCGGCUCCGCACACCCCGCACCGGCGAUAUCUCUCCGGUGGCACUCGAGCCCCGGCCAAGUUGCGGGCGCUGCGGUGGCUGCGGGUUUGCCGGAGUUUCCGAACUCCGGGGCCAGCUGGGGCGCCGUCCCGUUAGCUGGCGGUGCUGCUCCGCCCGCCGUGCCCGGAGCGCGGCUGAGCUGGCGGAGGUGCGCGCUGCCCCGGUACCGCCGGCUGCCGCGGCCGUGCCCGCUCCCGGAGCAGCCUUUCGGCCGCCGCUCGGGGACGGGCAGCGCGGCCGGUCCCGCUGGGCAUCCGCAGCUCUGAGCAGAGCAUAACGCGUCUGGAAACCGCUUUACUCGUGUUUCAUUAAUCUGAGGAUUGCGGAGGCAUUAGGCACGGGCUCUGUGUGCUUAGCGGAGGGAAGCGUGCUGUGAUGGGUACAAACUUUGGGGACGGGCAUCGCUGUUCUGGAGACUCUGGGAUGAAGCAUUCCUCUGUCAGUCCUUAUUGCUCUCUCGUUUCGGCGUUAGCGUUAGGCUAAUUGUCCUUGGGAGAGCAGAAAUUCUCCCAAAGUGUUGUUAUUUUCCUGCUAAAGUAUCUGUGAGUUGAUACAGAGCACCGCGCAGAGCCAUUAAUGUCAAGCAUAUAAAUAAUUGUGUCUUAAUACACAGCUUAUGUUAAUACGUCUUUCGUGACUAUUUUUUGAACGACUGGAUUAUUGACCCUCUGCACAGAAAUGCCAGACCUAACAUGAACCGUAGAAGAGCAAAUAGUUUUGUUUUAAUAAAUAAGGGCUUGAGGUUGAAAGCAUUUUUACAAUUCUAUUGCUAGUGAAAAGACAGUAAUUUUUGCAGUCCCAGGAAUAAUUAUGCGCAGUUGUGAAUGGAGCAAAUUGACUUGGCAUGGAGGGUAGAUGAACCUCCUGCGAUCUCUAGAUUAUGAUCAUUAUUGUUAUUGUAGGCCAGUGGGAGCAAAACUGUGUCUCUCCUUUUUAUCCUUUGAUUUCUUUCUUUUCUUGGGGGCCGGAGGGGGUGGGGAGUUGAGAAAUUGAAGAUUGUGCUUUGAUGCAUUUUCAGUACUAGGGCUCCAAAGUAAUUUUCUUACUGAACUGUGUGGUAAAAGGCAUUUGUGUUUGGAGAUGGAAAUUUGCAACUGAGAGUGAGAAAGAGGGGCUGGAGCUGUGCUUCAUAGCUAAGCCACAGCAUUAGAUACAGGUUAGCAUUUUAUAGCUACCUUGUAGAAACGUGCUUGCUUAUUUCUUAAAAACAAAACUGAACUGUAACUGUAACUAGCUCACAUAUCUGACUUUGCUUAGCGUCUUUUUUUCAAAGCGAAAUGUACUCGGCUUGUUCACACACCAUUACUUUAACUUUGUCCUGUCUUUUUGGGUAACCUGCUUUGGCUGGGUGAUGGACCUAAUGAACUAAUAGGUCUUUCAUGGUUGUAGCUCCUUUGAUCCCAGAAGUUGUAAAGAUUUUUAUGAACUAUGACCUGGAGAGACUGCUACAUACCAAAAACAUUCUCUGCUUAACUUCAUCUAUCCUCUGCUUAAUCUGACCAUUUGCCAAACUGCUGAAGUCUGUUUAGAAGAGCUGUGGGAGAAUGUGCACACAUGUGACUAUUUGGGAAUUAGUCAGUGUUUUAUGGGCUGUUAGCUCACGCUGAUUAGGAGGACUGCAGCUUGAGCCAUCUGCGGCAUUGCCAGCUUCCCACUCUUGUUCAGGUGAGCUGGGUACGGAUGGCACUCAGCUGGUAGUGUUUAGUGAAAUUUGAUCUCUCCAGCCAUCCUUUUGAAGAGGGCGGAAAGAAUUCAACAACUGGGUCUCUUUAAGCAUCCUUUGAAGAAGAAUUGCAAGAAUUGAAGUCCCAGCUCUUAGAACUAGAAGUGCAACUCUUUCUCACAUGGCAUCACUGAAGGGGCCAGCUGUUACUGCUGUGGGAGGUCAAGAGCUCCUUCCAAUUGUAUCUUCUGUGUCAUCUGCAAAACCCCCAGUUACAGUCCCCAGUGUGCUGGUUGCAGAGAGGCCACCUUGUCAACUGGGAUCACAUCAAGUGCUCUGAACUCCUGUUCCUCCAGCAGAUGACAGGAUGCUAUGGAUGGCCUAUUAGCGACACUAUGAGGAAACCAUCUGCCAAGCUAAGGUAGAGCUUAGAUACAAGAAUCAAGAAUCAAGAGCAAGCUUCAAGAUGAGAUGAUAUUCAAGUUAUGGGCUGAUGCAUUAGGAAGAUUGUUAUUGUUCAGAAGUCAUAAGAAAAUAAGAUAAUGGGCAGGAGAGUCUUUGGAAGAAAAUGAAGAUGUCUGCUUUAGUAAUGAUGAGUUUGUGGUAAUUGCUAAGCACACACAUAAAAAUAUGAGAAAAGAAGCUGAGAUUUCCAUGUGAACAGACGGUGUGGUGUUUUGGAAGUCAUCAAGCAAGCUGAAAUUGUGUUUGCAAAUGAGAAAAAAUGUGGAAGGGAAAGGGAAGAAACAGAAAGGACAGAGGCUAGUGAAACUACAAGAGGAAACUGAGGUGUGAAGAACAGAGAGAGUCCAGCAGAGGACACACUGAGGUAGCACUCAGGGAACCAGGAGGAGGAUGCAGAGAAUGCCAUCUCUGAAGAUGUGGAGCGAAACAGCAAAACAGCAGGAGCAUGAGCAAAACCACUGAAGUGCCUGACUGAGAGGCUGUGGAGUUACUGUUAAAAGUAUUUCCCAUUGGACUGUAAGAACAUAAAGCAGAAUGUUUAUAGACUGGCUUCUUUGGAAAGGAAUUCUAAAUGAUUAUUGUUGUCAUCUCAGAGUGGCUGAUGUGUUUUGGCAUGGGUUUUUCAAGAUGGGAGGGACCAAAGCAGAUUUGAAGUUUAUUUGUAUUGUGAAGAGAAGGCUGCAAGGGAGAUCUGAAAUCAAGAAGAUCACCUUCAUAAACAGAGUUGGUUACAGUGGUAGAACAGUUGGUUAAACCUUUUUUGUGCAAUCAUCAAUGAAUGAUCCCUUGAACAAGAACAUUAAUGACCUGAACUGUGACUGAGACAGUCACAUUGGACCAGUCAUGUAACUCUGUGGUCUAUGAUGGACAUUUAACUAGAAUUUGUCCCUUUAAGUUUGACUGCUUUUUGUGAUCUGAGUCAAUGUAUGUCCAACUCUGGGUGCAUUUGAAAGUUGUUUAUUCUGCCAUUUGGAAGGCAUGAUGACAAGUGCAUGAAACCCUGAGGGCUAAAGCAGGGUGAGAGCAGUGUCUUCUUGAUGUCAUGCAUCAAAUAUUGCAUUGGACAGACUGAGCUGCUGCAAAUGCCUCAUGAAGCUCUUAACCAUCCAGGAAUUAUUCCAUGCUCUUCUGGUAUGAUGCAUGUGUUCGUGCCUCAGCUGAGAAUGCUUGUCCUGUGCCCCAGGAGACACAGAGCCCUAGUUUUC